UCUAGAGACAAGGUCUCACUUUGUUGGCCUCCCAAAGUGCUGGAAUUAUAGGCAUGAGCCACUGUGCCCUGCCCAAGAAUAAUGUUGAUGAGAGGAUCCGUGAGGUUCAUCUAUCUGUAGUGCUUCUGGCCAGAGAACAGGCCGAAGAGAGAAAACCCUGAGGAACAUCUUUGACCUGCAUAGAAACUUAUCUGAAGAUUUUCAGAAUCUGAGCCUCACCCUCAGUCUAUCCCAGUUUUAUCCUGACCUGUCCACAUCUGUUAUACUCCAAGGCUUGCUGGGCCCAACACUGGAAGCUAUUUAAUGUUUCUAUUGCGACUGGCCUUUUAAAGCCAGUGGGAUUCUCCAUGCUACACUUGAGCCUGGAGACUAGAAAACAUGACAGCCUGUUUUCA
rnacentral:lncRNA from 1 species